AGUCUACUAGUAUUGAUAAUGAGACUCAAGCUGAAAAAGAGUUCACCGAAAUUAGGAUUUACUACAGACGGCCUCGCUUCGUGGCCAUGCAGCGCGCGGAGCUGGUCGGGCUGUCGCAGUUUCUGGCCGACAUUGGCGGCACUCUCGGCCUCUUCCUCGGAUUCUCCUUCCUCACGCUCGCCGAGAUCUUUUACUACUUCUCGAUAAAGUUGUUCUGCACUUCCAAACGUGAGGACUCAAAAAAAGACGAAAGUCCAAGGGAUACAACCAAUCUUUUUGAAACAAGUAAUUUGUAAAUUGAGAUAU